CAUGGUAUGCAGCUCUUCUUUACAUGUGAUACAUGAUGUCCAGCGCUGCUUCCCAUUCAGGUACAUAAUAUCCAGGACCUCUUCCCAUGUAGGCACAAGACUUUGUCCAAUGCAGGCACCACUUAGAGAUGGCUGAUUGUGAAGCAGCAUAUUCAGAAUUUCAUCCCAUGUGGGUACAAUAAGUUUAGGACUGAAUCUCAUGCAUGUACAUGAUGUCAAAGACGGCUUCCCAUGGGCUACAUCAUAUCUGGGAUCGAUUCCCAUGAAUGGAAAUGCUAUCCAGGAUUGCAUCCAAGGACAAUACUUUACUUCUUGGACUUCAUAACAUGCAGGUACA
ensembl:lncRNA